UACGGGGGGGGGUAAGCGUUGUUCGGAAUUACUGGGCGUAAAGGGCUCGUAGGCGGCCAACUAAGUCAGACGUGAAAUCCCUCAGCUUAACUGGGGAACUGCGUCUGAUACUGGAUGGCUUGGAUUCGGGAGAGGAAUGGCGGAAUUCCAGGUGAGCGGUAGAAAUGCGUAGAUAUCUGGAGGAACACCGGUGGCGAAGGCGGCAUUCUGGACCGACAUUGACGCUGAGACGCGAAAACGUGGGGAGCAAACAGG
rnacentral:rRNA from 1 species